rnacentral:lncRNA from 1 species
CUAUGAAAUUUUGCAGUAUAGUUUAUUCUAGCACUUUAGUGGAGAACGAGUUGCCUAUCAGCAAAAAAUGAGCAAGAACAAAGUGCAAAUAAUUAGUGGAAAGAAA